AUCUAUAGGAUUGUAUUAAAAUUGAAUAAAGCUUUGUUUAUAUAUUGAUAAUGACAGUAUAUAUAUCGUGUCUUGACUAAUUGCGUGCCAGCAGUCGCGGUAAUACGUAAGAGACUAGUGUUAUUCAUCUUAAUUAGGUUUAAAGGGUACCUAGACGGUCAAUAUAGCUUCUAAAAUGUUAGUACUUGACUAGAGUUUUAUGUAAGAGGGCAGUACUUGAGGAGGAGAGAUGAAAUUCUAUGAUACCAAAGGGACUCGGUAAAGGCGAAGGCAGCCCUCUAUGUGAAAACUGACGUUAAAGGACGAAGGCACAGAGCACAAACAGGAUUAGAUACCCAAGUAGUCUUUGCAGUAAAUGAUGAAUGCCAUAGGUUAGAUUAAGAUUUAAUAUUAUAAUUUAAAAUUAGAUAUUAAACAUUAAUUUGGUCUAUAAAUGAAAGUGUAAGCAUUUCACCUCAA
rnacentral:rRNA from 1 species